rnacentral:rRNA from 1 species
GACGAACGCUGGCGGCGUGCCUAAUACAUGCAAGUCGAACGCAGUGGGGACGGGUGAGUAACCCGUUGGUAACCUCCCAUCAGAGGGGAUAACACUUGGAAACAGGUGCUAAACCGAUACUGAUGGCUGAACCCGCGGUGCAUUAGCUAGUUGGUGAGGUAUCGGCUCACCAAGGCCACGAUGCAUAGCAGGCCUGAGAGGGUGAUGGGCCACACUGGGACUGAGACACGGCCCAGACUCAUACGGGAGGCAACAGUAGGGAAUAUUCGGCAAUGGACGAAAGUCUGACCGAGCAACGCCGCGGUAGUGAAGAAGGUUUUCGGAUCGUAAAACUCUGUGGUUAGAGAAGCGGUAUAUAACCAGAAAGCCACGGCUAACUACGUGCCAGCAGCCGCGGUAAUAC